rnacentral:rRNA from 1 species
GACAGAGGUGGCAAGCGUUGCUCGGAGUUACUGGGCAUAAAGGGCGCGUAGGCGGUCGAGUGCGUCGGUGGUGAAAUCCCCGGGCUCAACCCGGGAACUGCCAUCGAUACGGCCCGACUUGAGUGCGGGAGGGGAGAGUGGAACUCCUGGUGGAGCGGUGAAAUGCGUAGAUAUCAGGAGGAACGCCGGUGGCGAAAGCGACUCUCUGGUCCGCAACUGACGCUGAGGCGCGAAAGCCAGGGGAGCAAACGGG